rnacentral:rRNA from 1 species
GACGAACGCUGGCGGCGUGCUUAACACAUGCAAGUCGAACGGAAAGGCCCCUUUGGGGGUACUCGAGUGGCGAACGGGUGAGUAACACGUGAGUAACCUGCCCUUGACUUCGGGAUAACUUCAGGAAACUGGGGCUAAUACCGGAUAGGAAUCCUUGCUGCAUGGUGGGGGUUGGAAAGCUUCGGCGGUUUUGGAUGGACUCGCGGCUUAUCAGCUUGUUGGUGGGGUAGUGGCUUACCAAGGCUUUGACGGGUAGCCGGCCUGAGAGGGAGACCGGCCACAUUGGGACUGAGAUACGGCCCAGACUCCUACGGGAGGCAGCAGUGGGGAAUAUUGCACAAUGGGCGGAAGCCUGAUGCAGCAACGCCGCGUGCGGGAUGACGGCCUUCGGGUUGUAAACCGCUUUCAGCAGGGGCGAAGCUUGUGGUGACGGUACCUGCAGAAGAAGCACCGGCUAACUACGUG